rnacentral:tRNA from 1 species
GGUUCCUUAGUUUAGGGGUAUAAUACUCGCUUUGGGAACACGCGUCUUGAUUGCGAGAGGUCAUCGGUUCGAAUCCGGUAGGAACCC